rnacentral:rRNA from 1 species
CCUACGGGAGGCAGCAGUGGGGAAUAUUGCGCAAUGGGCGAAAGCCUGACGCAGCGACGCCGCGUGAGGGAUGAAGGUCUUCGGAUCGUAAACCUCUGUCAGCAGGGAAGAACGGUCACUGUGCUAAUCAGCAGUGAAUUGACGGUACCUGCAAAGGAAGCACCGGCUAACUCCGUGCCAGCAGCCGCGGUAAUACGGAGGGUGCGAGCGUUAAUCGGAAUUACUGGGCGUAAAGCGCUCGUAGGCGGUAUGUCAAGUCAAGGGUGAAAGCCCACCGCUCAACGUGGGAACGGCCUUUGAAACUGGCAAACUGGAGUGUGUGAGAGGAUAGUGGAAUUCCAGGUGUAGGGGUGAAAUCCGUAGAUAUCUGGAGGAACAUCAGUGGCGAAGGCGACUAUCUGGCACAUAACUGACGCUGAUGAGCGAAAGCGUGGGUAGCAAACAGGAUUAGAUACCCUUGUAGUC